rnacentral:rRNA from 1 species
CCUACGGGAGGCAGCAGUGGGGAAUAUUGGGCAAUGGGCGCAAGCCUGACCCAGCAACGCCGCGUGAAGGAAGAAGGCUUUCGGGUUGUAAACUUCUUUUCUCAGGGACGAAGCAAGUGACGGUACCUGAGGAAUAAGCCACGGCUAACUAGGUGCCAGCAGCCGCGGUAAUACGGAGGUGGGAAGCGUUAUCCGCAUUUAGUGGGUGUAAAGGGCGUGGCGGCGGGAAAGCAAGUCAGAUGUGAAAACCAUGGGCUCAACCUGGGGACUGCAUUUGAAACUGUUUUUCUUGAGUACUGGAGACGCAGACGGAAUUCCUAGUGUAGCGGUGAAAUGCGUAGAUAUUAGGAGGAACACCAGUGGCGAAGGCGGUCUGCUGGAC